GAUCGCGUAGCUCAGUUGGCAGAGCAUUGGGCUAGUAUUCCAAAGGUCGUAGGUUCGAUUCCCACCGUGGUCA